ACGAACGCUGGCGGCUUGCUUAACACAUGCAAGUCGAACGGAAAGGCCCUGCUUUUGUGGGGUGCUCGAGUGGCGAACGGGUGAGUAACACGUGAGUAACCUGCCCUUGACUUUGGGAUAACUUCAGGAAACUGGGGCUAAUACCGGAUAGGAGCUCCUGCUGCAUGGUGGGGGUUGGAAAGUUUCGGCGGUUGGGGAUGGACUCGCGGCUUAUCAGCUUGUUGGUGGGGUAGUGGCUUACCAAGGCUUUGACGGGUAGCCGGCCUGAGAGGGUGACCGGCCACAUUGGGACUGAGAUACGGCCCAGACGCCUACGGGAGGCAGCAGUGGGGAAUAUUGCACAAUGGGCGGAAGCCUGAUGCAGCAACGCCGCGUGCGGGAUGACGGCCUUCGGGUUGUAAACCGCUUUCGCCUGUGACGAAGCGUGAGUGACGGUAAUGGGGAAAGAAGCACCGGCUACUACGUG
rnacentral:rRNA from 1 species